GAAUGUCUCCUCUACGAUCAUAUCUUUUCAUUGGAUUAUUUUGCAUCGCAUUGCUCCUUUCUUCACAUGAAAAAAGCUCAGUUGCAGGUAUCACUACUAUUAUAGGGCGUUGUAGUUCAACAGAUGAAGAAUGCAACGAAGAAUGCCAAAAGGCAGGAUAUAAGGGGGGGACGUGUGUUUCAAAAGGUGCAUUUGAUCCUGAAUAUUGUCAAUGUACCCGUAAUUGAUCAAAAUGACGUCUGUUCGAUGAUUAUAUGCUGAAUAAAAAUGCUUAAAACAUUUCGUAUUUAAUUGAUA